CAAUAGCGUAUAUUGAAGUUGUUGCGGUUAAAAAGCUCGUCGUUGGAUUUCUGUUGAGGUCGAACAGUGCCGCCCUAUGGGUGCGCAACUGGCUCGGCUUCGGCAUCUUCUUGGAGAGCGCAUCUGCACUUAACUGUGUGGAUCGUACUUCAAGUCAGUUACUUUGAGGAAUUGUGAGUGUUUCAAGCAGGCUUACGCCGUUGAAUCCGUUAGCAUGGAAUAAUAGGAUAGGACCUCGGUUCUAUUUUGUUGGUUUUGAGAGCUGGGGCAGCGAUUGAUAGGGACGGAUGGGGGCGUCCGAACUUUACUGUCAGAGGUGAAAUUCUCAGAUCGGUCAAAGGCGAACUACUGCGAACGCAUUCGCCAAGAAUGUUUUCUUUA
rnacentral:rRNA from 1 species